rnacentral:rRNA from 1 species
CAGCCGCCGCGGUAAUACAGAGGGUGCGAGCGUUAAUCGGAUUUACUGGGCGUAAAGCGUGCGUAGGCGGCUUCUUAAGUCGGAUGUGAAAUCCCUGAGCUUAACUUAGGAAUUGCAUUCGAUACUGGGAAGCUAGAGUAUGGGAGAGGAUGGUAGAAUUCCAGGUGUAGCGGUGAAAUGCGUAGAGAUCUGGAGGAAUACCGAUGGCGAAGGCAGCCAUCUGGCCUAAUACUGACGCUGAGGUACGAAAGCAUGGGGAGCAAACAGGAUUAGAGACCCGCGUAGUCCCUGUCUCUUAUAC